rnacentral:lncRNA from 1 species
UCCAUAAUUUUCCAUGAGUGCAAUACAAAGUCUCACUGCCAAACAAAUAUCCUGAAACAAAUUUGAUUGUGAAGGAAAACUGAAUGCACACAACCAUUAUAUACAUCAUCAGCGCCACACAGAACACUAUCACGACAAAACCGCAAUCAGACACCAAUUGACAAAAUCAAAAGAAAUAAUUCAAACCUAAACCCCACCUCCAUGGAAUUACCUUCGAAUCAGAAAAUCAGAAUAACACAAUUUAUCAGUGAAAUGCGGUGAACCCAGGAAUGGAUUCGGAAGAUACACAAACACCUCUUAAAUAUCCGGCGAGAGACAUGCCCACCAACAACAAAACGAAACUGCAAUCAACAAAAGAAGACAAAACCCAUACAAAAUGAAAGGCAAAUCUAACCCCACCACAAAGAAAUUAUGGACCCGAAUUCAAGUACCGGCCCCAUUAUCUGACAAAUCCAACUAAAAUCUCUGCACAAUCCGUAUGAACGUCGGGAACGCGCGAAAAAGCCAUACAAAGAAGUCUUCUUGAAGCAGCUUUUGAAUUAUAACACAGAAACUGACAUAAAUCCCCAAAGAAGAACGGGCCAUCAAGGAGUUGGAUCUAGCGCAAACAACCCCUCCUACAGGAAGAUGUCUCUAGAACAGGAACACUGUAAUGAGCAACAUGUUGAAGAUUAUUUUUUUCCUUCGUCGUCAUCAUCUAUCAAGUGUGAUUUCUUUGAUUAAAAACACAAGAGGGCGCAUGUUCAAGUCAACUGGGACGUGAAUUCAUCAUCAUCUAGACGGGUGUUUCUCUCAUUUCCAUCCUACUUAAACAAACUAGAUCAUCAAUUUCCGAUCCUUUGCCAAGGCACGACAUUGGGAACACUUCACUACUUCAUCAACAAGAAAAACAAGAUUGAUGAUGGCGACAAAGUGAAGCUAUGUAUUGAUGACGGAAUGUCAAGCACAUCCUUUACAAAUCAAGUAAAGGUUUGAUGAAUUCCCGACCAUUGAGGUUUGGUUGGAAUCAGCAAUUGUUGCUUCAGCUAAAGGGUUAUAAACAUCCAUUUGUUUUGAAGAGGAUGAAAUGUUCAAGAUACUAGUUUCAUUGUUGUGAACAAUGUUGUCAUCUUGUGUUUUUGGUUUCUCUAUUUGAUUUGGAUUGGUGAAUGAAUUCAACACAUGAGAGAAAUCAGAAAUAGUGACUUGGUAAUAGAGAUGCAUUAGUAUUUGAUGCUCCUUCUCUAGACCUUCCAAGUUUUGAACCGUUCAUUUUCUUUCUCAAAGACUCUAGUGACAACCCAUUCACUCUACAAAAACUAUCAUUAUAUGGCAACUAUUGUAAUUUGUAGAUUGUAAAUAUACAAAUCCUUUACCUGUUUCUUCAAAUACUACAAAGAAUAAUUUAUAAAGUUGGUGAAUUUUGUUUAAACUAUGUAAUUGACGUCUCCUCUAUGCUU